UACGGAGGGUGCAAGCGUUGUCCGGAUUUACUGGGUUUAAAGGGUGUGUAGGCGGGCUUUUAAGUCAGUGGUGAAAUCUCCGGGCUCAACCUGGAAACUGCCAUUGAUACUAUUAGUCUUGAAUUUUGUUGAGGUAGGCGGAAUAAGUCAUGUAGCGGUGAAAUGCAUAGAUAUGACUUAGAACACCAAUUGCGAAGGCAGCUUGCUAAACAAAUAUUGACGCUGAGGCACGAAAGCGUGGGGAGCAAACAGG
rnacentral:rRNA from 1 species